GAUGAACGCUAGCUGCAGGCUUAACACAUGCAAGUCGAGGGGCAGCAUGGGGGUUGCUUGCUAGCCGCGAUGGCGACCGGCGCACGGGUGAGUAACGCGUAUGCAACCUGCCCUGCACCACCGGAUAACCCGGCGAAAGAAGGCCGAAUACCGUCUAUGGUCGAUAGAGGGGAUCCGCUAGGCACCGCACGAUUGGCGCGGCGGAUAUGGGAUGCGCCCGAUUAGCCGGACGGCGGGGUCACGGCCGACCGUGGCUACGAUCGCUAGGGGUUCUGGGAGGAAGGUCCCCCACACUGGAACUGAGACACGGUCCAGACUCCUACGGGAGGCAGCAGUGAGGAAUAGUGGUCAAGGGGCGUAAGCCUGAACCAGCCAAGUAGCGUGCAGGAUGACGGCCCUAUGGGUUGUAAACUGCUUUUAUGCGAGGAUAAAGUGGCACACGUGUGGGCUUUUGCAGGUACCGCAUGAAGAAGGACCGGCUAAUUCCGUG
rnacentral:rRNA from 1 species